rnacentral:snRNA from 1 species
AGAGUCAAAGAGUGCUUGAA